CUCUACUAAGUCCUGAACGGAAAUCCAUCUCCUUCAUCAAUUAUGGGCACCUUCAGGAGAGUGGGUAGGGAUGGGGGCAGACGACGCCCUAGGCGCCGAAGGGUGACCAUCCUCCCGAGUUGGUUUCUGUCGUCCCUGUUAACUCACCAGAGCCUUGUCCAGUGGGGCCGCUGGUGGUGGAGAACAAUCCUCCAAGAACAAUGGAUCUGGUUCCCCCCUUCCCCACCAUCAGACUCCCUUGCAGCACGGCCUGGUAGCCAGACCUCGGGCUGGAAGUCAGAAGGACGGGGGUUCUACUCCUGCCUCCACCACGUGUCUGCUGGGUGACCUUGGAUGCAGAAAUGAAUGUUUCCCUUCAGAGGCACCAGAAGCCAUUUUACUCUGCAGCUCUCCCUUGAUGGUGAAGAAAGUGAAAUUAUUUCUACUGACUUAGAUCAAACCAGCUGAACAAUCCAUCGCUAUGAUGCUGAACCAGCAGCUCUCCAUACUGCCGAGAGUCUGGAGUGGAUGUAGCCUGACUCCACAGCAAGAGGAGAAUUCCAGACAUGAAUGAGAGACAUUUCCCCAGAGCAGUCUUCAAAAACCACUGGUGACAUCUAAACUGGACUUCCUGACUUUAUAAACUCAAGACUCAAAUCUCGUCUGUGCCCCGUGUCCUUCUGGGCAUGGAGGGGAUGAAAGCCUCCAUCUUCUUCAGCAAGGUUUUGCCUGGACUUAGGGGAAGGCUGUUCAUCUAAGAAGAGACAACUUGAAUUCCUUCUUAUAACUGACCUCACCUCAAAAUAAAGACCAACAGAGGCAAGAUCUUCUAAAGAAAAAUUGGAAGACGACAUUCGAAACGAUGCAAAACCCUACCACCAAAUAUAUUUCAACUGAAAGAUGAGGCCUCCUUUAAUUCAAGAGUCUGAUGCUCAAGAGAAGAUGGAACUGAAAUUGAUUCUGCACAAGACUCCUUAAAUCUGAAAUUUGGAUUUGUGAUGAAAUAUCUUUGUACUUCAGACUUCAAGGAAAGAAUACUUGUGAAAAACAAAACCGCCUAUGGAACCCUUAAAUUAUUUUGCUUCUAAUUAAAAAAUGAAACAAAACAGUGAA